CUAACAUAUCAAUAAGCGGAGGAAAAGAAACUAACAAGGAUUCCCCUAGUAACUGCGAGUGAAGCGGGAAAAGCUCAAAUUUAAAAUCUGGUGGUCUUUUGCCCAUCCGAGUUGUAAUUUAGAGAAGCGUCUUCCGCGCUGGACCGUACACAAGUCUCCUGGAACGGAGCGUCAUAGAGGGUGAGAAUCCCGUCUUUGGUACGGACCCCCAGGGCUUCUGUGAUGCGCUCUCGAAGAGUCGAGUUGUUUGGGAAUGCAGCUCAAAAUGGGUGGUGAACUCCAUCUAAAGCUAAAUAUUGGCGAGAGACCGAUAGCGAACAAGUACCGUGAGGGAAAGAUGAAAAGCACUUUGGAAAGAGAGUGAAACAGUACGUGAAAUUGUUGAAAGGGAAACGCUUAAAGUCAGUCGCGUCGACCGAGACUCAGCCUUGCCUCUGGCUUGGUGUAUUUCUCGGCCCGACGGGUCAGCGUCAAUUUGGUCCCUCGGAUAAUGGCAAGGGAAAGGUGGCACCUUUGCGGGUGUGUUAUAGUCUUUUGUCGCAUGCGAGGGGUGAGAUUGAGGAACUCAGCACGCGCGCCCUUCUGGGUGUGUCGGGGCCUCGGCCCACGCCACGUGCUUAGGAUGCUGGCGUAAUGGCUUUAAACGACCCGUCUUGAAACACGGACCAAGGAGUCUAACAUGCCCGCGAGUGUUCGGGUGGAAAACCCGUGCGCGUAAUGAAAGUGAAAGUUGGGACCUUCGUCGUGAAGGGCACCGACGCCCGGACCAGACCUUCUGUGACGGAUCUGCGGUGGAGCGUGCAUGUUGGGACCCGAAAGAUGGUGAACUAUGCCUGAAUAGGGUGAAGCCAGAGGAAACUCUGGUGGAGGCUCGUAGCGAUUCUGACGUGCAAAUCGAUCGUCAAAUUUGGGUAUAGGGGCGAAAGACUAAUCGAACCAUCUAGUAGCUGGUUCCUGCC
rnacentral:rRNA from 1 species